rnacentral:lncRNA from 1 species
UGAGGUCGCCCGUGAAUGAUGCAAGCGCGCUCCCGACACUUCAGGUGAAUGAGAGGGAAGCGGAGGAGCGGGAUACGGUUCAGUGUGUGUCGCAGCGGGACGGAACAAUCAGAGGAAAAUGACUGGCGUUACGUCGCCUGGGGCUCAUGUGUUUAUGACAACAUACCUGCUCUUCGUGAUGGGAAGCGUUGCACAAAAAGUGUACUUCAACUGUGGUGCCAAGGUGGAUGUGGUGGACGUGCAAGGCCUCAUUCUGUCCCCUGGCUUCCCUUACAACUACUCCUCUGGAACACACUGUGUGUGGCUGUUCAUCGUGCCUGUCGACCACCAGCUCAUUCUGGAGAUGCUCGAUUUCGACGUGUUCGAAAGUCACGACGCCGCCGCUCAGGCUUCGGCCGAGGAAGAGGCGGAUGAAGAGGCCGCUUACACGCCCGGCAGCUCGGCGGCCGACGAAACGCCCCCGGCGGCUAACGGUCCGGCGCUGCAGAGCGCGGGGGGUGCCGCAAAGGCACAGCAGGCCUCCGAAGCUGGCGAGCGCAAGCAGGUGGUUGUGCAGGAACAGUCCGCGAAGAUGGAGAUUGCCAGAGUCUCUAAUUCGGCCAAAAGAGCCGCGGAAGCCGCCUCGGCGCCCUCGUCCCCACCGUCGUUCUCCUCCCUCCUCAUGCCCGAGGCCGUGCCUCCGGGGGACAGGGCCCACAAUUCUGCCUCCUCGUCUCACCUCCGAGGAGACCUCCACCCCAGUUCCAACCCGAGCACAGUUGUGGAGGAGACCCCCCUUCCUUCCUCGGCCCCCACCGACACCCCGCCUGCGAGCCCCGAAACCCAGCAGUCCAUGUUUGACGCCUGCCCGCACGACGUCCUGUACAUCUCAGACCUUAUCACCUUUUCCUCCAGAUUCUGUGGGUCCAACCGGCCUCCCAGCAGCCAGUUGGUCUUCGGGUCCAGCCAAGAGAUGGUGGAGGUCAUCAUGGAGCUCAUCACCACUACCCACUGGGGCCGUGGCUUCGCUCUGCUGUUCCACUACCACAACCUGACCGGGGACCGUCGCGUCUCCACGCCGGCAGCCAGCAAGGUGGACUCUUUGCUGGCUGCUGUUAGCGGAGCUGUGUUCUUCGCUAUGAUACUCACCAGUGCCCUCUGCAUCAUUUUCAGGCCCAAACUGUGUCCAAAAAGAGACAGCUCCUGCUCAUCCAGCGCUUCUGAGGUGCCAGGGGGAGUCCAGAACACCGGGGCUGAGGUCAAUGAGCUGCAGCUGAUGGCUAAGAACCGGGCGACCCUCGAGUCCAGCACAGAGCCGGACCACAACGAUGGCAGUCCGUCACAUACAGCCCGUGCGAGCGUCAACACUUCCCAGAACACCGACGUGGACCUUUCCUGUGGCGGUUUGACUGAACUGGACCUCGGUGCAGACGAGGUUUUCAUGGCAUCUUCAGCCCCGAGCCCAGGCAGGCUUCCUGUCUCCCCCCACACACAGCGGGAGAGGUUUUUGCGGCACAGCGACACUGGUCCCAGUCCUGCAGCCGACUGGCCGCCACCACCAUCUCCAGACUCGGCCACCUCCCCUGCCGGGGUCCGAUCCGCCAAGGACGGCUGCAGCCGACCCAGAGCGUGGAGCGUGCGCACCUUCCAGGACUUCCUCCCUCCGUUGCCGCAGCUGCACAAGAAGUGGUGCAGCUGGAACUCUACCAGUCCCUUCACCAAGCUGGUGGAUAGCGCUCCGUCCAGUUUGGUGGCUGACUGCCGAGUGGGCAACAGCGGGCAGAUCUUCUCCGACGUGCACCUCGAGGCUAAGACAGACAGCGGCGUCGUCUCUGACUCGUCCGUCAGCAACGCGUCCUUCCCCCUGACGCAGCUCGCCCAGAGACAGCGGCGCCUCAACUCCGCCAGCAACCUUCGCCGCUCGCGCUUCACGGGGCCAUACUUCGGUCUGCUCUCUGGAUCCGCAGAUCCAGCCAAGGCCUCGGGACUGCCUCACGCCCAGGGCUCCGCUUCGGAGCCCGUCUCCGGCGCUUCGUCCUCCACCCAGGGUCAGAUUGAGAGUGGCCAGGCUGGAAAGAGGCGUGACUUCUCUGGGGACGGUGAGCACAUGAGCGUGCCGGUCUUUGCCAUCUCUGAGGAGGAGGACCGGCAGCCUCUGGUCUCAGCAGAGCACCUGGAUCAGACGUCGACUUCCGCUGUGGGGAACGGACUGUCACGGGAAACAUAUGAGGGGAAGAGGUCGCCUAUCGGAGGCGUAGGCCUCAGCCCCCAAACCCAGAGGGCCAGGCCAGAGUGGAGGCCAUGGGGGAGCCAGGUGUCAGGGGGCGCGUGUCCCCUCUCAUCCAACUCCCCCAUCACCAUGAGCGAGGCAGCGGUCAGUAACAACCAGCUGGCUUUCGGUCCGUCUGCAGUGCUGUGCAGUGUGACCAGCCAGAUGUGA